rnacentral:RNase_P_RNA from 1 species
GCGGAUGGCCGGAUGGCCGCCUCCGCAGAUCGUUCCGCGAUCCGCUGGGGAGGAAAGUCCGGACUCCAUGAGGCAACGGUGCCGGGUAACGCCCGGCCGGGGAAACCCGAGGGAAAGCGCCACAGAGAUGAGACCGCCUCCGCCUUCGGGCGGGGGCAAGGGUGAAACGGUGGGGUAAGAGCCCACCGCGGCCCCGGCGACGGGGACGGCACGGCAAGCCCCACCGGGAGCAAUGCCAAAUAGGGGCCUCGCGCGCGCCACGUCCUUCGGGAUACGGGCGCGCAGGGCGGCUUCGGCCCGAGAGGCCCGGGUUGGCAGCUUGAGCGCCGCGGCAACGCGGCGCCGAGAGGAAUGGUCAUCCAGCGGCGGCGACGCCGCGGACAGAAUCCGGCUUAUAGGCCGUCCGCGCAU